UAGCCUAGUGGUUAAGGCUAUGGAUCGCCAAUCCGGAGACAGCGGGUUCGAUUCCCAC
rnacentral:tRNA from 1 species